rnacentral:rRNA from 1 species
AGUAACACGUGGGUAACCUGCCUUAUAGUGGGGGAUAGCCUUUCGAAAGGAAGAUUAAUACCGCAUAAGAUUGUAGUAUCGCAUGAUAUAGCAAUUAAAGGAGCAAUUCGCUAUAAGAUGGACCCGCGUCGCAUUAGCUAGUUGGUGAGGUAAUGGCUCACCAAGGCGACGAUCCCUAGCCGACCUGAGAGGGUGAUCGGCCACAUUGGGACUGAGACACGGCCCAGACUCCUACGGGAGGCAGCAUG